rnacentral:rRNA from 1 species
UACGUAGGGGGCAAGCGUUGUCCGGAUUCAUUGGGCGUAAAGAGCGUGUAGGCGGCCAGGUAGGUCGGUUGUGAAAACUGGAGGCUCAACCUUCAGACGUCGACGGAAACCGUCUGGCUAGAGUCCGGAAGAGGAGAGUGGAAUUCCUGGUGUAGCGGUGAAAUGCGCAGAUAUCAGGAAGAACACCGAUGGCGAAGGCAGCUCUCUGGGACGGUACUGACGCUGAGACGCGAAAGCGUGGGGAGCGAACAGG